AUAAAAGAAUUAUAGAAUAGCCGUAGCCCCCUGUCCUGUGGCAUUCGGCGCCCGCUAGCGUCAGGUCGUUUCUUCAUCUCUACAUCGUCUCUUCUUCUGUCGCGAAAUCUCAAGAAUCUGCAGAAGGGAUGCCAGCCGCGGUUCCAAAGCCCAUCAAGGGCAGCAAGUUCAUGGUAAUCUGUAAUCGAUGCGGGACCAAUGCAGGUUACUCGGUAGAUGCAAUGAACUCCCACUCACGAUGGUGUGCCGCCGCGAAAAAGGAGAAAGAGAUGGCAGCCAAGAAAGUGGCGGCGAAGGCUCGUCGCAAGCCGCAGCGGCGCUAGAAUGGGUGCCCCACCGGUGGCGUUAGAGAAGGUGUUUUCAUUCUGAACUGUUGCGAACUGUUGCUGCACAAUUUUGUGCUAGAUUCAUUGCUGUUCUUGGAA
rnacentral:lncRNA from 7 species